rnacentral:rRNA from 1 species
GAUGAACGCUGGCGGCAUGCCUAACACAUGCAAGUCGAACGGUAAGGCUCUUCGGUGUACGCGAGAGGCGGACGGCUGAGUAACGCGUAGGAACACAUCCUGCAGCGAGGGAUAAGACACCGAAUGGUGUACUAAUACCGCAUACGGUCUUCGGAUUAAAGCAUUUAUGGGCUGAAUGAGUGGUCUGCGUCAUUUUAGAUAGUUGGUGAGGUAAUGGCCCACUAAGUCGAGGAUGUGUAGCUGGUCUGUGAGGAGGAUCAGCCGGACUGGAACUGAGACACGGUCCAGACUCCUGCGGGAGGCGGCAGUGAGGGAUAUAGCACAAUGAGCGAGAGGGUGAAGGGGCAAUGCCGCGUGGAGGGUGAAGGCGUUCGGGUUGGAAACUGCUUGUAUAAGAGCAGAUUAGGACGGUAACUGAUGAAUAAGAGACGGCUAACUACGGG